GGAAUGCUCUCCAUUCAGAAUGCAUGGGGAUAUAACUGAUCAGUUCUUUUCCGGCAUUGAGCCCUUUUGACGGAACUCAGUGCCGGAAAAGAAAAACGCAAGUGUGAAAGUACCCUGAAUAAAGCAAGUAAAUCAAUAUAACUCAUUUACAAAAAAAAUAAUAAUCUCACUUUGUUUUGUUGUACAUUUUCUGUUUCACACUGAAUCUGUCAGAGAACUACUCUACCUGCUUGAUCUGUAGCCCUUAUUUUUGAGCUCCUGACAAAUGUAUAUUGAGUGUUUAUGAGCUGUUUAGAGUUCAGAAAUAAGGACUAAAGGUCUGAGCCUGCAAGUCUGCAAAUGCAUUGAAACUGAAAGCUUAAACUAUUGAAAAUGUUUAAUAAAUACCAAUUAAAUUUUUUAGCCCACAAUUAGAAUGCAAUAAAAAAAAUAAUAAUAAAAAAUGCCCCAAACGAUAUCCGUAGCUUUUAAGGAACAGUAACAUUUUCAUCUUUGAACUCCAUAGGUCAUAACUUUGUUACUUUUUCCUGUGUUUAGCUGUAUACGACCUUGAAUUUAGCGGAUCAACUUGUAGCUUUUA